CGGGGCGGCGGAGGGAACGGCCCAGGCACUACUCCUCGGCCCCACUCCGCAACCCCGCUGCCCGGCCCCGCUCCGGCGCUGCCCUCCGCUGCCCUCUGCCGGCGGCCGGGCCGUGCCGGGCGCUGCUUCCUCCCGUUGCCGGAUCCCGGGGUGCGGCCGCGGGCCCGGUUCGUCCCCUCAGGGAGCUUCGGUGCGCCCUCAGCGCGGUGGGGGUCUCGUGGUGGAACGGAUCCGGCGAGUCCUGUAUUUACUUGGGGAGAGAAACGUCUUUGUAUUAUGACUAUUAUUUUAAAGUCUGAUGCUUCUUGAUCUCAACCUGUGAUGGGGUCCCUUCAGCCGUGGGGUUCAACGCCAUGCUCCUGGACAUGGGGCGAUGGGCACCAUGCAGCCGUGCCCCUCCAGCAGCAGGAGCUGCAGCGCGUGCCGCGCCGUGCUGGUGGUCCCGCGGGCCCUCCUCCCAUUGCAGUUGGCGUGAGGCUCUGUGCUUCUGCACAUCUACCUCUGGAGGCCCCCAGGGCACCUUCUGCAGCACCAGCUCCCUGCUCCCACACCUACGGGAGCUUGCUGACUCCGGUGCCGCGUGCCCCUGUCUGCGGCCGAAGCCCUUCUGAUCGUCAGGGAAUGGAUUCAGCCCACGAAAAUAUGUUGCAUGUUGCAAGUGGAAUUUGCCCUCUGGCCUUCGGCUCCCCCUCUGCUGUGACCAACAAGUGCUGUUUUCUCCUCUCCCCCCUCGCUGGUGAAAGCUGCCUUUAGCUCGCUGCGGGCGCUUGGUUCCGAGCCAGUGACGAGUUUCCUUCACGCCUCCGUCUGCUGUGGAGCCAGAGAAAAAGCAACGCGUGCCAUUUUCCUCUGCAGUGGGCAAAGCCGCUGCUUCCCGAGUCCCCUCCCAGCCCCACCAGGCCUGGGCAGGGGGGGCCCUCUGAGCAGCCUCAUUUUGCCUCGUUUCGUAACAUUUGUGGAGAUGCAAUGUAAAGUAAUAAUAAUGGUAAUUAAGUCUCGAGCAUCAAAAUAUAAACCAAGUGACAGUGAAAAUCAGGGAAAGAAGAGUGGGCUAAGAUGAGAGCGAUGGAGUGAGAGGUGAUGGCUGUAGGUUGUGCUGGAGGGGAGACUCAGGUGGGAUAUUAGGAAGCAUUCCUUCUCCAAAGAGCAGUCGGGCACUGGCACAGCUGCCCUGGGAGUGAGGGGGUCACCAUCCCUGGGGGUGUCCCAGAGCCAUGGGGAUGUGGCACUGAGGGAUGUGGGCAUGGUGGGGUGGGGGUGGACUUUUCCAGUCUUCGUGGCUCUGUGAUUCUAUGACUAUAAAUACAGCAAAGCACAGGAGGUGACUGUGCUUGCAUGGUUGUUGUGUUAGUUGAUGUAGGAAGCAGUGUCUUGAGCUAAGAGCUUGCUCUGCUUUGGGAGCCUCAGGCCCAAUGGCAGUGCUGACACUCCCCAUGAAGGCAGUCCCUUCGGUCCUCCCAGGAGCAGCAUCCUCCCCCCUGCAUCUUUCACAGAUGUCAGAGAACUCUCAGUUGGAAUUGUGGUUUUGUAAUCAUGGAUGCUGCAAGGAGUAUGCCACUGUUCUUCCAUAAAAUCAGGCUGUGGUGCACUGAAAAACUUUGUGUGUGUGCUGGAAAGAAAAAUCUCUUAAAGAAUCCUCUCCUUGUGAGAAAGAAAUUAUUUCCACAUGGUGCUGCUUUAUCAGUACUGUGCAGGCACCUAAAGCAGAAGCUCAGGAGUAAGAGCAGAUGCAAUUAGAAACUGGAUCCAGAAA
rnacentral:lncRNA from 1 species